CUUGGUCAUUUAGAGGAAGUAAAAGUCGUAACAAGGUUUCCGUAGGUGAACCUGCGGAAGGAUCAUUACCUAGAGUUGUAGGCUUUGCCUGCUAUCUCUUACCCAUGUCUUUUGAGUACUUACGUUUCCUCGGCGGGUCCGCCCGCCGAUUGGACAAUUUAAACCAUUUGCAGUUGCAAUCAGCGUCUGAAAAACUUUAAUAGUUACAACUUUCAACAACGGAUCUCUUGGUUCUGGCAUCGAUGAAGAACGCAGCGAAAUGCGAUAAGUAGUGUGAAUUGCAGAAUUCAGUGAAUCAUCGAAUCUUUGAACGCACAUUGCGCCCCUUGGUAUUCCAUGGGGCAUGCCUGUUCGAGCGUCAUUUGUACCUUCAAGCUUUGCUUGGUGUUGGGUGUUUGUCUCGCCUCUGCGUGUAGACUCGCCUUAAAACAAUUGGCAGCCGGCGUAUUGAUUUCGGAGCGCAGUACAUCUCGCGCUUUGCACUCAUAACGACGACGUCCAAAAGUACAUUUUUACACUCUUGACCUCGGAUCAGGUAGGGAUACCCGCUGAACUUAAGCAUAUCAAUAAGCGGAGG
rnacentral:rRNA from 1 species